CCAUUUCCAAAAAUUUCCUUGAGUCUAGAAUUCAAAUGAAGGCUGUUAUUAUGUGUUGUGUUGUGUUGUGUUGUGUUGUGUUGUGUUGUGUUGUGUUGUGUUGUGUUGUGUUUUUGAUCCAGUCCAGUGAAGGGAGCUCUGAGCAUGGAGAUUUCUUCAACAAUACCAAAAUCGUAACUGAAAAAACAAAUCAUUGUGUGACCACAGUGGAAAUUCCAGAGACACCUCAAUGGAUUGAUGCUUCUAAGAGUAAUAUCCUCUUCUACCAGUCAGAAAUUGUGAAUCACAGCCCCUUUAGCUCUGUUACUAAUCCAGAACUUUAUCUGGCUACAUACUAGAAGGCAGGACUACCAUUGCACGUGGCAAAAGGACUGCCUUCUCUUACUCAAUUCUGAGUGACGGAUGCAUAACAGCACAGACUUUUGAAAUGUUGGAAAUAAAGAGAUUUCUGUGCCAUAAU
rnacentral:lncRNA from 1 species